CGCAGGGAGAGAGACACCCUAACGAGUUAUUUACUCUAGUCUGUUAGUCGUAGGUUUAAAAGGCCUAAAUUGUGUAUACUAUAUCAAAAUGUCUUCCAAAAAAACAAAACAAAUGUACGUUCCACGGUUUGGGUCACAGUCAUCGAGCCAAAACCUUUCAAGAAAACCAAAGGUCGACUCUAAACUGACCAACGUUACAAUUCAUAAAAGCGAAGUCAAAUCCGUCUAUAAGGAAGUGCCCGAAGGUCAAAUUUUACCGAAGAAAAUUGCAGUCAUGGAGAAAACACAAUUAAGUCCAACGCUUGCAUAUACGACAACAGACGUGAAGAAACCGAACCGGAGGACAAUGAAGAAAUUGUCAACUAGUACUUCUAGUAAUGGAGAAGGGGAUAUUUUCAGUUUUAUUGACAGAGACGACCCUUUGACGGCUAACAAAACAGUACAAAACAAAACAUCAAAGGCUAGGGAGAGUGUUUUGAGAACCAUUGCUAGGAUGCUCCUAGAGAACAGACAAAUCAGGAGGAGGCUGGCGACCCUUUCCCAAAAAAGUCAGGCAGUCACAGGCAUUAACUGAUUUAAAAGACUGGAAGAACAGACCAGGAAUCAGGUCAAAUUCAUUUCUAUUCAUUUUUCACAGACCAGUUCGUUUUGUGUUUUUGUUGAAAGUGGGCCAUUUCGGACAAUGGCCUAUUAAGUUUUAACCAGCAGAGGGCGAUCUCUGCAAAUGUUUGUUGAAUUAUGUCACAUACUGCAGCAGGUGAUGGUUGCAUACGUCUGCAGUUAGACAGGUAGUGUUGAAUGCUGGUGGAGCUUGUGUUGUCGUGCAGAUUCCAAUUGUUCUGAGCCUGAGGUUAAGUUGUUCAGUUUGCCAUGGAUGUGCUGGAGGCAGUCUCACAUUCACCAUCACAACUAUCGAAGCCACAAGCAGAAGCAGCAGGUUUGACUGCCAACCCCCUACCACGUUAAGAGAACAUGUUUUAAACAUCCUUUGGAGGUUUAAAGUUCCAGACCUAUCCCCCAGAAUUGAAGAAAAUAUUUGCAUUCCUGUGAAGCCCUUCUCCCCCUGCGCUGUCUCCAUAAAAUAAGUUUAUAGGGGGACUUUCUGCUCUUCCCAGGAACAGACUAAAUACAAGCAGUACAUACAUUUCUCACGUGCCCAUUCUGUGAGGAGAAAAGAGCCUGCACUUUUUUUUUUCUUGUUCUUUUUUUCUUGAGUACAUAAAAGCUUGAAUUUUAAAUUUUA